UCUUACGGACAAGCAGAAAAAGUUGUUUCUUGAGAUGGAACCUGCUCCUGGUGAAGAUGCUGUGAA
rnacentral:pre_miRNA from 1 species